rfam:Asian citrus Psyllid, Diaphorina citri - Florida Strain, whole genome shotgun sequence.
GCCAGCGCCGAUAGCGCGUUGAAUGCUCCAGUUCACGACAAAUCACUGAAGUUAAGCAACGUUGCGCGUGAUUGGUAUCCGGAUGAACUAUCAAUAGUAAAUCACUCAGGCUGGGU